rnacentral:rRNA from 1 species
CACGCAGUAAACGAUGAUUACUAGCUGUUAGCGAUAGAAUGUUAGUGGCUAAGCGAAAGCGAUAAGUAAUCCACCUGGGGAGUACNGAUACGCGAGGAACCUUACCCGGGCUUGAAAUGCAUCUGACGAACUUGGAAACAGGUUUUCUAGCAAUAGCAGAUGUGUAGGUGC